UGAUAAACAUCUGUGUACUAAGUUAGUUUAAAGCUAGGGACCAGACUCUGGAACUGACUAACAGCAGCCAGGUCUCCAGAUGGGACUUUAGCCAGAUUAGGAAACCUAGAGUGAGCUAUGCCUGUUAACCGAGUUAUUACUCAGCCUUCUGGAGCCAUGUCAUUUUGAUAUAAUUCUCUAGAGAGCUCGAAGUGACUAGAAAUUACCUGUAACUUAAGUUCCCAGAAUGAAAAUGAGUGGUUACAUCU
rnacentral:lncRNA from 1 species